GAUUGCGAAGGUCUGGAAUAUACAGUCAAAAACUUUUACAAUUGCUAUAAGUGGCAAAAUAAAUCUUGACAUCAUUACUUAAUUUCCGUAACGGAUUAUUAAAAUUUAACAAAAACAAGAAUGUUCAGAAUAAAUAUGUAUGCAGUAAUGAAUGCAGGGGGCCAAUUUGGAAAGGAAACGGGGCCAGAGUGGUCAUUACGCUGAACCUGAUUCCGAGAAACAGAUUUAAAUUAGCAGUUAGAGAGGAUAACAUUAACGAAUGCCGAUUCCAAUUAGAUUGACUUCCCGGCGUAAAGAGGUUCCUCAAAUGCAGAGAAAGGUUGCUCGAUGUCUCCCAUAUAAUAGAAGCGUGUCAUGCAAUUUUAAGAAUGGCUUUUGGACACGGUAGCGAGUUUC